GAGGCAGCCAUGACUGGCCACUUCAUGUGCUCCUGGAGAAGGGCUUGCACCAGCCGUUUUCAGGAAAGUCAAGCAGCUGUUGACUCCUGAGUCUGGGUGAAUUUGUGUGAAGAGCAUAAGGCGCUGUUUCUUAACCAAAACGCUUCCUCUUGCAGUGCAGAUGGGAUGUGCUUCUCCACAGGAGGCCCCACGGCUUCCCCACCCCUCAGAGGAGCGCCGUGCGUGCGUCUGUGUGGAGGAUUGGCAGCUCCUGCAGUCGGCCCUUGGUCCUAUUUGGCGACGCCUCUGCCUUCCCCUUAAUUAUACAGUCAUGAGCCGCCCUGGAAUCACGGCAGCUCCGGAUGGAUCCUGGAUGCCAGAAUGCAGCCUCAGCACGGGGCUGCAGGACAGGAGUGAGCGAGGGGCUGCAGAGCCGGCGGCCGCGGUGGGCACCAUGGAGGGGGCUGCCCUGGGCAGCACGGGCAUGAGUCUCAAGGCCCAGGUUUGAGUAACAGGUGUUGAGAGCUUACUUACUUUUCCUGAGACACAGUUUCCUCAUCUCGAGAGCACGGAAAAUCAUUCUAACUUCAGAGGAUUGUUGUGAAAGUUAAAUGAGAUUAAAGAGGUAAAGCCCAUGACGUGCUUAGCUCGUGCUUGGCUCUUGGUCAAUGCCAGUUAGCGCUGCAUUUUCUCCCCUCUCCCUCCCUCCUUCUCUCUUUCUUUUCUUCUAUUCUCCAUUCCUGUUUUCUCCCCCACCCCACUCCCCAAAGCUCUGCGUUGAGAACCAGAUGCUGUCUGGUGGGUUAGGGCCAGAGGAGGAAAAGCUGCCCGCCGUGGGCUGCACCCAUACCCUCUUCAUUCCAAUGACAUGAGGGGAGGGGAAAGGACAGAGGUAGACUGUCCUCCCCUACCUCCUCCUAAUACAAAUGGAAUUCCUGGAACUGGAAAACAAAGAAUACCCCCAUAAAAAUAAGACAGUACUUCUGGUGCGGUGUAAUAAAGGGGAAAGUAACCCUCAAUGUCAGGAAACUCCGCACCUCCCAGCUCAUAUUUGUGUGGAGGAAAAGUUAAAUAUUAAUUUGGACUCAACUGAAUGUGGACACAAACAAUGGUCACCAAGUCCCGGAACAGGUUGUGUGAGCCUCUUCAGGGGUUCAUCCAGCGCUGUUUUGGAGAAAUCUCUAUUUCAAUUUAUUCCUAUACGUUAGUUACUGAAAAACAACAGACAAUCGCAAAAGCAAGUUGCCCGUUUUGUGUUCCUUGAGCCCAAUCAUGAAGUGCCGUCGUGACUGGGCCUCAUGACAAACAACUUGUAACAAGUAACAACAGAGCUCAGGUCCCAGACCGCACUGAAGCUCUGUGAGACCUCUCCUCAUCUGUGCAUGAACGAGUGUCUGACUCUGGAGCCCAGCCUGCUGCUUCCCAGUCUGGUGGUGAAUCCUCCGUAGUCUGAUGGAGGUUUGCUCUUGUUGCCCAGGCUGGAGUGCAAUGGCACAAUCUCGGCUCACUGCAGCCCCUGCCUCCCAGGCUCAAGCAAUUCUUACGCCUCAGCCUCCUGAGUAGAUGGAACUACAGGGCAUGGACUGGAACUCCCAAUACCCCUGACAUGGGCUGAGUCAACGUGGUCAUGAACAUGUGACAGGAGGCAGCAGAAGUUGCAGAGAAGAGUGAGGCACGUUUGAAAAAGGCUGAAAAAUGUUUCUGUCCAGGCAAGGGUGUGUGCUGAAUGACUCAAGGAUUUUUUGGAGAGAAUUGGAGUGUCUCACCAGAGGAGACCACGUCUGAAGGGCUUUGCAUCCCUCCUUGGACAUGUCUAAUACCUAACACUCAGAAAGCAUCCAGUAAAUAUUCGUGGAAAGAAAGGAGUGGAGAAGGGGAGAAAGGGGAAAGGGAGUAGGCGAGAGAGAAGAAAGACUCUGCUUCUUGCCCAGGGCCUGGCAUGGGGCGGAGGCAAAGCAGUGGGGUCCUCAGCUAUGUCCCACUGUGAGUGCACAGCGAGUCCUGACCUUCAGAGGGUGCAGCCCGAGGGGCCCUGGCCUGUCUGAAGGGUGCGCCAGCCGAGUGGCCUGCUCUGACCACCAGGCUCACCCAUGACUACCUGGGUGGCUACAGCCAGUUCCUGACAAUGAGUACAGCACUCAGUUAUCGGGGCCCUUCCACCCACACGCUGUCCACUUCCUGGGGUACUGCUGUGGGCAUGUGAGUGCUUGCUCCCCGGGGCACUGCUGUGGGCAUGCGAGUGCUUGCUCCCCGGGGCACUGCUGUCCACUUCCUGGGGUACUGCUGUGGGCAUGCGAGUGCUUGCUCCCCGGGGCACUGCUGUGGACAUGUGAUAGCUUGCUCCCCAGCUCCACUAGUGACACUGGCGGCCCCUCGCUGGGGCCUUCCCCGCCUGCUCCGCUCCAUUACCGCUGCCGGGCUCCUCACGUCUCUCCUUGCUGCUUCCUGCACUGGGGUGAGGAGAGUGGGGCUGGUCCCCUUGAGACCGGAGAAGCUCCAGGCUUUUAAGGAAAACUGCCAGGGACGAAGAGAAGAUAUCACUUCCCCACGUGGUUGGCUUCCAGAUUCAGAAGGAAUGUCUGUCCUUGUGGAUUCCGUACCAGAUGACCCCAGAUGCUGCCUCAGUACUAGGUCCCUGUGGCUCUGGAGCCUUUGCUGGGUCUGGGCAGUGUCUCUUCCUCUCCAGUUCAUCCUUGGGUCUCUUCACCCUUGCCAGGGGCAGGCUUCCUGGUGAGAGGUCGACCUCCUGCAUGAAGGCUCUCAAGAGGCCAGUUCAAAGCCAAGCUCCGGGUCUGUGCCUGUGGGGCUGCUCCUCGAUCAGGAGAUGGUCACUCCCCUCCUGGUCUGUAUCUGUGGGAUUCUCCUCCAUCAGGAGAUGGUCUCUCCCCUCCUGGUCUAUACCCGUGGGAUUCUCCUCCAUCAGGAGAUGGUCACUCCCCAUCCUGGUCUAUACCCGUGGGAUUCUCCUCCAUUAGAUGGUCACUCCCCUCCUGGUCUAUUCCCGUGGGGCUGCUCCUCCAUCAGGAGGUGGUCACUCCCCCUCCUGGUCUAUACCCGUGGGGCUGCUCCUCCAUCAGGAGAUAGUCACUCCCCCUCCUGGUCUAUACCCGUGGGAUUCUCCUCCAUCUGGAGAUGGUCACUCCCCUCCUGGUCUAUACCCAUGGGAUUCUCCUCCAUCUGGAGAUGGUCACUCCCCUCCUGGUCUAUACCCAUGGGAUUCUCCUCCAUCUGGAGAUAGUCACUCCCCUCCUGGUCUAUACCCGUGGGGUUCUCCUCAAUCAGGAGGUGGUCACUCCCCUCCUGGUCUAUACCCGUGGGAUUCUCCUCCAUCAGGAGAUGGUCACUCUCCCUCCUGGUCUAUACCCGUGGGGCUGCUCCUCCAUCAGGAGAUGGUCACUCCCCUCCUGGUCUAUACCUGUGGGAUUCUCCUCCCUCAGAAGAUGGUCACUCCCCCUCCUGGUCUAUACCCAUGGGAUUCUCCUCCCUCAGAAGAUGGUCACUCCCCCUCCUGGUCUAUACCCGUGGGGCUGCUCCUCCAUCAGGAGAUGGUCACUCUCCCUCUCGGUUGCUCAGUCCAAAAACAACCUCUCUGGAAAACUGCGUGGAAUUUUUUUUUAAAGAAUUGAAACUAGAACUAGCAUUUGAUCCAGCCAUCUGCCUACUGGGAAUACACCCAAAGAAAAAUAAAUCAUUAUAUCAG
rnacentral:lncRNA from 1 species